rnacentral:lncRNA from 1 species
CUGUGUCUUUUUGUUCCCGUUUCUGUGUUUCUUUUUCCUCGAGUUUUCUCCAAGUGAGUUCUCCCCACUAAAGGCCAAGAUGGCCACCAGCAACUCCAGGCUGAAGUAACUCUGGUGGAAAGAGGAUCUCUUUCCUAAAAGUUCUAUCCAAAGUCCCAGGCCUAACCCUCAUUGGCCUGAAGAAGUAAGCUGUUUAUCCUUUAACCAAUCACUAUAGCCGGAGGCAUUUGUUCCAGUGUCCGUUCCUAGAGCUGGGGAGGGGGUUAGCCCCAUGGAACCAGAUGGACUGGAAAUGGAGUUGAGGUGAUUCCUGAAGUGAAAGAGGGGCAUUGGCACAGGGCACCAGAAGCUGUCUCCUUCAAGACCCUUUGUGCCAUCACCAGCUAGUUAGUAGUGACUUGUUGGGCUCCUGCUGGCCACAGCCUCAUUUCUUUCCCCCACCUCUACCACCAGUGUUCCGAAGCUGAGUAUACCUGAGACAAUGACCCUCCCCAGCUAGUGCUAGAAAGGGAGGCAAAACUCCUUGGAAACUACUUUUCCCAGAAGGACUAAAGACAGAAAACGCUGAAAAUAAAGCUGAUGUCUCUCCUGUUCUCCACCACACCACAUUGCCAUUCUCUCUCCCUGGAGCGCAACACUGUGUCCUCCUUUCUCUUCCACCACCUCCUCUUCCUUUUCCUGGUUCAAGAUGCCUGGGAGAGUUUGAACAGGAGUCGGAAGAGCCCAGAGAAGCUGGAAACAAGGAAUUGAGAGGACAUCAGACAAUCAGAGGAAGAGCUGAGAUAGAGAGUUGCUGAAGUCACCUGCAGUCAUCAUCAAAAAGGAGGUUCCAAAGAGCGUUGAAGAUGAUGUCAGCCAGAAAUCCCCAAAUUCCAUUUUGUCCCAGGAUGACCGUGAUCGUUAAAACAAAAUAAGGAAAAAGUAUAAGGGAGGAAGGAGGUAUAGCAAACUAGAGCAGGGCGCAGACGAGGACAGAGUCUGGGAGAACAGGGCUCAGAAUGGGCCUUUACGCUUUGUUCUCUAUACUUCUGUAUUAUUUGAACUCAAGACUAUGACAAUGAAAAUG